GCCAGACUCCUACGGGAGGCAGCAGUGGGGAAUAUUGGGCAAUGGGCGCAAGCCUGACCCAGCAACGCCGCGUGAAGGAAGAAGGCUUUCGGGUUGUAAACUUCUUUUGACAGGGAAGAGCAGAAGACGGUACCUGUCGAAUAAGCCACGGCUAACUACGUGCCAGCAGCCGCGGUAAUACGUAGGUGGCAAGCGUUGUCCGGAUUUACUGGGUGUAAAGGGCGUGUAGCCGGGCUUACAAGUCAGAUGUGAAAUCCGGGGGCUCAACCCCCGAACUGCAUUUGAAACUGUAGGUCUUGAGUAUCGGAGAGGCAGGCGGAAUUCCUAGUGUAGCGGUGAAAUGCGUAGAUAUUAGGAGGAACACCAGUGGCGAAGGCGACUUUCUGGACUGUACCUGACGCUGAGGCGCGAAAGCGUGGGUAGCGAACGGGAUUAGAUACCCUUGUA
rnacentral:rRNA from 1 species